GACGUAGGGCGCGAGCGUUGUCCGGAUUUAUUGGGCGUAAAGCGCGUGUAGGCGGCUUUGCAAGUCGGGUGUGAAAUCCCUCAGCUCAACUGAGGAAGUGCGCCCGAAACUGCAGAGCUUGAGUACCGGAGAGGGUCUCGGAAUUCCCCAAGUAGAGGUGAAAUUCGUAGAUAUGGGGAGGAACACCGGUGGCGAAGGCGGGGGCCUGGACGGAUACUGACGCUGAGACGCGAAAGCGUGGGUAGCAAACAGG
rnacentral:rRNA from 1 species